GCCAGGGACUCACAUAUGUGCCUGUGUGGCAGCUGGAAUGGAAGAAAGCAAAGUCAUUACUCAUCGCUUGCAUUCUGUCAAGGCCUUCAUUCUUCUGGAAAGAAAACAGCGAGUUAGUAAGCGGUGGUGAGGAAGAGAACGCUACUUUAUGACUGAGAUUCCAGCGUGUAGAGGGCUGUGUGUAUACACACACUUUGUUGGCAUUACUCUUUUGUCCCCUGCGUCCAUUUGUCCAUCUUCUAAAGAGCUCUUUCAUCCAAGCAGCAUACCCAGGGUGUUUGGUUGGCUUUGUUUGGCAAUGUCCUGCACUGUUUCACAUUGCAAAUGGUUCUCUGCACAAACACAAAAAAGGAGGGUAAAGUAAUGAUGACAAGUGCCAUCAACCUCAUGAUCUACUUCCAACCAGCAUGAAAACUGUAAGAGGACCCUGGGAAACAGCCUGGCUUUCAGCACGUGACUCUCAGUCCCUAUCCCAGCAUGCUCAGUGAUGUUUAUGCUCCCAGAUUUUGUGUAGAUUAAAGCAUACCACAGAUUGUGGCUGUUACGGUCUUCAUUACCAGUUACCACCCAGGCUUCACAAGGAAUAAGUCCUGAUGUCUUUGGCAUGAUCGACUGAGAUGGCCUUCCAUACCCCAGAGCAAGAACCAGCAUGUUCUCUGCUUGCUGGGAAGUCUCUCAGCAUCACCACGUGGCUGUGGCAGUCCUCCCGUAGUGGCCGAAGCCACCCCCAUCUGUGGUGGAUCCCAGCUCUUGUUCAGUGUUUUCUGCUUCAGUCCACUUCAGACUUUGAUCAGAACUCUUAAGAGCUGGCAUUCGUUCUAGACGGCAGAGCUUUUCCACAUGCACAUCCUUUAUGGGGCACACUCUGUGGUCUUGUUCUGCUCCUACUGACAAAGCUCCUGUUGGCUUCCCUGGAGCAAGGAGGGCCGAGAGGCACUCAUUUUCUGAUUUAUUAAUUGCCUGUGUUUCCAGCCAGUCCGGAGCUGUGGGUGCAGAAACCUUGAGGGGGUCGCUUACCUUGGUGCAAGUAUCAUUGCAGCCUUUCUGAUGCCAGUGGAAAAUUAAUAUCCUUUGGAGACAACUUAAGGGCACUCUAUGAGCUAUAUAAAGAAGACAACAACAGGAUCAGAAUGAAAACUAGCAGUCUGUGAUAUCAGAUGAAACGCUCCCUUGUCGGCUGUUUUUUCAGAAGCUGUUUGUUACUUCAUUUCACCCACUUCCCAGAGCCUCCAAAAGUUAUUUUUAAAUGACCUGCUUGCCACACAUUCCCUGAAGAGGCCCAACUAUUUUCUCGUCUUUCACAAAGUCCCUUGCUAGUGCAGGUACCUAUAAUUAUUCAUACACAAACCUCAAGCAGGCAGCUUCCCAUCUUCCAUUUAGAUUUUUUUAAAUGGACAAUGAAGAAGGGAACAAUUCAGCCAUACAGCUCGGUGAAGCUCUUGCUCUGCAGCUCUCUGAGCCCAGCACCAUGGUGACAGGUCUCUCUUUCUGUAGAAAAUGUAUGCGAUCCCUGCAUGUCCAUCACAAAGCACCCAGUGGCUGGGACAAGCAUAUGAGACACAGGGCUCUGUAACAGGCCUAUGGCUUGCUCUCCUCUGACAUCAUUGGGAAAGGUCAACGCUUGCAUGUGAAGUAAGACGUAUGCACAGCCUUUUCAGAGGGGUUUGCUGAGAAACAGAGCGGAAUGCAUGUGGUCAUGUUUGAGUAAUAUAUGGAUAGCUGCUAGGUUCACUUCCUCUGCAGGCCUUUCUGUUUUCAGAAUAUUUAGCUGAAUAUGAGCAAUUUUUGCUCACUCCAGAAGCGUUUUCUACAGCCAGACCUAUUCACAGCACUGGCAAGACCUAGCUCAUCAGGUUAACACACGUGAAGUUCAUCUCACAUGAAGUUAGUAUCUCAGCUCACUACAAUAUAGGCUCAACGCGUGGCAUUUUGAAAGCAGGAGACCUCUGGGGAUGUUGUCAAGGCUGUUCGUGGCCCUCCAGAUGUACUACAAAAGGGAAGGUCUGAUGGGGAAAGAGGAGGAAGCAGAAUGCCCAAAGGUUGCUGUCAACUUCUUCUCUUCCCAUCACAGUGAGCAGUGGAUAGGGCUGCUUUUUCACCAGCGGGAGCUGAGCAGAGAGUUGCUUCAAGUUCCUUUUAAAGGAGGAAAAAAAAAAAAAAAAGUGAAACCUGAAAAAAUAGCAUGAGAAAUCAUCUGAAAUCCGUGUAAUGGGAUGUUUCAGUUUGAUGAAGAAGCAUAACCGCUCUUCUCUAUGCAACAAGCAAGGUUACUAAAUUACAUUAUUUUCCCUAAGCAAAAAAGCAGUUCAAUUGCACAGAUCUGAGCUACACAUGUAUUGAAACAUACCUGUCUUCCUCAAUUUUUUUUUUAAAUGAAAUACUAGCCAAAAAAUGGUGUGUUUGUCCAAUUGUUGUCUUGUAUGUGUCAAAAAUAAUGUCUGACCUAAAAUGCAUGCCCCAAAAUGGUGACUGAAAUCAAAAGAGAGACUUAUUUUCCUGAUUGAAUGUUUCUAUGGCUCGCGGUAACAAAACCCCCUGCAAAGCAUUUCCAUUUGGCUCUGUUUUGGCAUUUAGAAAUUCCUGGUCAACAAAGAAUGCACGGUCUGGGAAGUCUGACCACCGCGUUUCAGGGAAAGGAAACUGAAAAGAGAGGGAUCCCAAUGAUUAACACUGUAAUAGGUAGCAAAUAUGGAAAAGUAGAAUGGAAGGGCAGUGCAGCACUUACCUCCGGAACCAAGCAGUAGUUCCAGGUAGCUUUAUUCUAGUAAGAAGAAUAUCCAGGGGAUCUGAGUAUCCUCAUGGUGCUGGGUCAGCAGCUGGCAGAGCAGCACUGGUAGAUGCAAGCACAGAGGACACCACGUUGACCCCCCUGCCUACCCGGCUGGGUCAGAAGCAGGUUGGGUAGGAUCACAGAGGUGCAGUUUUGUCAGCAGGAGGUUUGGGAGCAGACGGAAGCAGCGGUCCGCCAUUCCCAGCAGUCCUGCCAGAGAAAUUGAGCUGGUACAGGGUGGGGAAAUGAGCUGUGCUAGAGAACGGAGAAGUAUUACAAUCAUAAUUUGCCUGAAGCAGUAAAGAAAGCAAGAAAAGGAAUAGUGACUCUUGCGGGGAUUCAGCUGCACGCCGCUCCUUUUGGGGGGCAAGCUGUGAUAUUUCAGCCCCACCUGUUGAAUUCACACCCAGGGAAAUAAAAUCUAGAUGAAAAUAGGGAGUUCUUAAAAUUAUUUUUACUAACCCAUCACUCAGCAUUCUUUAUCUAUGAUUUAAAAGCACUUCUAUCAUUCAUAACUCUUCACCCAGAGGGAAAAACGGGAUAGGAUUUUGCAUGACUCAAGGGUCUUAUGGGAUGCUUUAAAAUGGCUCAGCUUUCAGGCUUUUAACUGUGUUGAAGCACAGCAAAAACUAGAGUUCAGUAACAUAGUAACAUGGCCUGGGCACUGGGCUUCCAUAGAGAACACAAAGUACGUUUGUGUUUGUUAAAGGUGGUUUUGUUCUGAAGGGGACUUCAAGCUGCUCCAGAAAGCCGGGCAAAUACCACCUGGUUAAGGACGAGCACAAAGGCUCCUGCUGUCCUGGGGAUAUUCUCAGAUAUUUGCACAAAGCUUCCAACUUUUUGGACUACCUCAUUAUACAGAUAACCUGAAGCUUGCAUACACAGUCACAGCCAUAGCACCCCUUGCAGUUUCCAGGGACAGAUUCUCAGCUGCUGUGAAUCUGCAUGGAGCCACCAAGAAUUCAGUCCCUUGCAUUUAUUUCUAGCAAGCAAUUACCACAUGGGGUUUCUUUUCUCCUUAGCCUCAAUCUGUGCGUGUCCUUUCUCCUGCUCCCUCAUCUCCUGAGUGUUCACACAGAGUGCAUCUGCAGCAUCCUCACAGGCUGCGAGGCACGGUAAGGACAGACAGCAGGAGAGAGGAGAGGGCUGUCCCUGGAGUUGUUCUUUGGUGCAGCUUUGACCAAGAUCUGCUGCUGAGACGCAGAACAGCGGGCUGCAGGCUUGUGGCAGCAGCACCUGAAGAUCCUGACCUUUCCUUCUCUGGGCAGAGUUGUUGUUGUGCUGCUGUUCUGAGUAAUCCCUGUACAAGACCUACUAGUAGUAGCAACAAUAAUGAUAAAGAGCUACAGAACAACCUCUGGUUUCUGAAUAUGGUUCAGAAGGGAACCAUACCACAACUGUCUGCUUUAGAAGCGCUGGGAAAGUUUGCCAUAGUUAAGACUGAAAGUAUUAGGCAGAUGUGACCUUUAAUAUCUGAACUGUCAUGAGACAGGAAAUCACAUUGUUACCUAAGUGCCAAAACAGCCCAUAGCAGCUCAACCAUGAGCACGAGGGGCCACUUCAUUCCCGGGGUGAUGCUGUGUGACAGACCCCUGAUGUCUGACUGGGGCUCCAGUACCUCAACAAAGUCCCCUCCAUGAUGGGCACAGUGCAGUCCUUUGUUCCAAGAGGAGCACAGGUUAUUGAGAAAUCACACUCCUUGGCUCCUGAAGUUUCCUCUCUGAGCACAGCUGCAUCAAACACAUGGCAAGUCUGUAGGCCGAGCUACCCUGGAUGACAAACCAAAAGACAACUAAGGAGCUUUGCAAACAAAAUGCAAGUCAUCUUUUUUCCUCCCUAGGUUCUCCCCUCUGAAACACCUGGCUGUUUGUGGCCAACUUCCAGCACUGAAAGGCCGCGGCAGGCUGCACAGCAAGGGGGAAACCUGCACGUGGAUAGACCUGGUGCUGGCAGGGUUAGAGGGAGGGAAGCUAAUGGGGAACAAGUUUCCCAUUUCAGCAGAGACAAGCAUUGCUCUGUGACAGGACAAGAUUUGACAGAGUUUGUUGUUUUGAGCUUAGCAUGCCCAAGAUCCCCUUCUUCCGACACAGUGUAUUGUGCCUCAGAUGAAAUCCUUUUGAAGAAUAACAUGCACACACAAUGUCAUCUGACGUUAUUCCAGUGCCACAGGGAACAUCUUGAGCAUGAUUACACCUCAUGGAAGUUGACUUGCUAUGUGAAAAACAGCCCAAAAUGCUUUCACAACAAAUCUGUAAACACAUUUACGCUCCCAAUAGCCAUGACAAACCCCAUCAAGCAGCCAGGAUUAGUGCUACCAACUCUCACUAAAGGAGUGAACAGAGUCUCUGUUGCAUGAAAUACACCAGCUGUAAGGAAGAACUCACAGCUCCUGGCCACCAAGUUUGUAGGCAAGCCCCACUCGGGAGGACUGGCAGCCAAGCCAAGACUCCUUGAGUCCUGCUUGCUCACAUCCUGUCCGCACUGGCACUGCACUGCCUCACCUCCCUCUCCCCAGUCCAUUACAACCACGCCUAUUCAGCUCUUCCUCAGCACCAGACAGCAAGCCCAACAGGCUCUCAUGCCCCUUUCAGAGCGCUCUGGUCACCCUCCACCCUUUGUGUCAGUGUGACAGCCUCAAGAGAAUGGAGCCCAUGUCCAUUUUGCAGCUUACUUUCUGCAGAUCCCAGCUGCAGCAUGCACAGCUCACCCAUCAGGAACUGCUGCUGUGGGAAACUGCUGUGCAGCACAGCAUGGCAGAGAAUCCAACUGCAGGUUAUCCUCACUUGAGAUGAGGAGCAAAAUCUAAGCCUGUCAAGAUCAGAACGUGUCCCAGCACAAGUGCUGGUCCUCGCCUUAUGCUGAAGGCCGUCAGAAUGAGGGUUGCUUGGUGUUACCAGUAUCGUCUCCUUUCAGGUGCAGAGCUCACACUUGCAAUAACUGCAGGCAGUACCAACAGCCAAGGAGGUUUCUGCACGUGCACACACCAGCCCCACACCAUGCUGGAGGUCCUACUUCAGGAUGUGGCACUGCAAGGGACCAGUUGUAAAAUCCCAAAUCUUAAACGUGGAAAAACUCACUUGCCCAAGUGCUGUUCAACUUCCCUGCAGUUCACAAGCUGUUCAAAAAAAUGUAGUUAGCGAUAAUAACCACACUUCUGAAGCCAGUUAAUUAGAAGACCUGGUUCUAGUCUGAGGUUCUGCUACCCAUUCACUGAAAACAC
rnacentral:lncRNA from 1 species